rnacentral:rRNA from 1 species
AUUGAACGCUGGCGGCAUGCUUUACACAUGCAAGUCGAACGGUAACAGGUUAAGCUGACGAGUGGCGAACGGGUAAGUAAUGUAUCGGAACGUGCCCGGUCGUGGGGGAUAACGCAGCGAAAGCUGCGCUAAUACCGCAUACGAUCUGAGGAUGAAAACGGGGGACCGUAAGGCAUCGAGCGAUCGGCGCGGCCGAUGUCAGAUUAGGUCGUUGGUGGGGUAAAGGCUCACCAAGCCGACGAUCUUUAGCUGGUCUGAGAGGCCGACCAGCCACACUGGGACUGAGACACGGCCCAGACUCCUACGGGAGGCAGCAGUGGGGAAUUUUGGACAAUGGGCGCAAGCCUGAUCCAGCAAUGCCGCGUGCAGGAAGAAGGCCUUCGGGUUGUAAACUGCUUUUGUACGGAACGAAAAGGCUCUCUCUAAUACAGGGAGCUCAUGACGGUACCGUAAGAAUAAGCACCGGCUAACUACGUGCCAGCCGCCGCCGUAA